GAUGAACGCUGGCGGCGUGCUUAACACAUGCAAGUCGAACGGGAAUUACUUUAUUGAAACUUCGGUCGAUUUAAUUUAAUUCUAGUGGCGGACGGGUGAGUAACGCGUGGGUAACCUGCCUUAUACAGGGGGAUAACAGUCAGAAAUGACUGCUAAUAUCGAAUAAGCGCACAGAGCUGCAUGGCACAGUGUGAAAAACUCCGGUGGUAUAAGAUGGACCCGCGUUGGAUUAGCUGGUUGGUGAGGUAACGGACCACCAAGGCGACGAUCCAUAGCCGGCCUGAGAGGGUGAACGGCCACAUUGGGACUGGGACACGGCCCAGACUCCUACGGGAGGCAGCAGUGGGGAAUAUUGCACAAUGGGGGAAACCCUGAUGCAGCGACGCCGCGUGAAGGAAGAAGUAUCUCGGUAUGUAAACUUCUAUCAGCAGGGAAGAGCUUGACGGUACCUGACUAAGAAGCCCCGGCUAACUACGUGCCAGCCGCCGCCGUAACAC
rnacentral:rRNA from 1 species